ensembl:lncRNA
UACUGUUACUAUUAUUAGUUUCUAUAAAAAAUGAGCUGGGAACAUCCAGAAGACAUAGCCGUAUGGGAAUAUCUGGUCUCAUUGAAUCAUUCAGAUAAGACAAUUGACUGGAAGGACAUUGGCAAGGUUAAGAUGACCACAGUGUAGAAGCAAGGAUCUUCUUCUCCUCACGACCAACCAAUAUAAAGUGUCUCAAAAGGACAAAAAAUCAAAAUCAAAUGAGCGAAGAGGCUCCACUGAAGGAUACAGCCUUGAAGUUCUUUCUCUGGAUAUGGAUAGUGUUCUUUCUCAUAAAUGCCUCUGGAUUGUCCUGGAUUGUUGAAUUGCUGCUAGUAAAGAAGUCCAUUACAUUGGAUCAUUUAACAAUGUAUCAGUCUCUGUGUACAAUGUUCUCCUGCUUCUGUUCCUUUCACUCUGCAUGAAUUCUUGGAGCUCUUUCCAGUUCACAUGGAAUUACUCCAGUUCAUUGCUCCUUUCAGCUCAGUAGUAUUCUAUAACCAGCAUAUGCCACAAUUUAUUCAGCCAUUCCCCAAUUGAGGGACACUCCCUCAUUUUCCAAUUUUUGCCACCACAAAGAGCGCAGCUAUAAAUAUUUUUAUACAAGUCUUUUUUCCAUAUUAUCUCUUUAGGGUCCAAACGUAACAGUGAUAUGGCUGGAUCAAAGGGUGGACAGUAAUUUAAAGCCUUUUGGGCUUAAUUUCAAAUUGCCCUCCAGAAUGGUUGGAUCAAUUCACAACUCUAUCAGCAGUUUAUUAGUGUUUCAAAUUUUGCCACAUCCCCUCCAACACUUAUCACUUUCCUUUGCUGCCAUAUUGGCCAGUCUUCUAGGUGUAAGGUAGUACCUCAGAGUAUUUUAAUUUGUCUUUCCUCUUCAUAGCAUAAACAUUUCAGCAGUAUAAAGGCCAGCUUAGAAAUUCGAGCAGAGAAGACUGGAGGAGCCCAGCUUUGCUAACCUGGUUAUGAGAAACCUCACAAACCAUGAGGUGCUUGUAUGCUUGCCUCAGUUAAUUAAAUAACUGCUUACUUCCUGUCUUGUGGGUCAAUUGCUUUGCUUUCAUAACUGCAGUAUCUUAGAGAUCAACUUGUUCAGUAGAAUAUAUGUUGCUUCUUUUUUUAUA